GAUUUGGGCAAUAGAUUCCCUCUGUACAUACUUUGUAAUAUUUCCCCCUAGUCCGUCAGAAAUAGGUAGAUCUGGGAUUGCAUGUGAUGCUAUUAGGAAAACUGUGUAGUGAGGGCAGGGCUUGGAAAACAAAAGUUGUUAGAUGGAGCAUUGCUUAUAGCCACAGAAUGAUAGGUGAGCAUUAUAAAUACAUCAAACACUAUUUCUUUUUCCUCUUUCGAUCUUUAGUGUGGUGCUUGACUUCAUUAUCCAUUAUAUUCCUCAUCAAUAAAUAGUUCAGCUCCAUAUUAUGUUCUAGCCAUUCAAUAGUUUAUCAAGGCAGAAAAAUACAGAAUACAGGCCAGAAGUAUUGAAGCUGCAGAACAGGAAAGAAGGGAGCAGGACAGCCACAGUAGAGUGACUUCAGUGCUGGGCUUUUUGCUCUGGGAGGGAUAAAGUGAUUCCUUCUAGUGGCUGGCUACCCAGAGGUAUUAAGUACACAUUAUUCAGAGAGGAGAGGUGAGCAGGAUGUAUCAUAGUUCUUUCCUCUUUUCAAAAUCAUAACAUACGCAGUACAAUCUCUACACAUAUAGCAAUACCUCAAAUAUUCGAAGAAUAGAAAGCCAUGUGUCUUAGGGUUUUACUGCUGUGAACAGACACCAUGACAAAUGCAACUCUUAUAAGGACAACAUUUAAUUGUGGCUGGCUCACAGGUUUGGAGGCUCAGUCCAUUAUCAUCAAAGUGGGAGCAUGGUAGCAUCUAGGCAGGCGUGGUGCAGGAGAAGCUGAGAGUUCUACAUCUUCAUCUGAAGGCUACUAUGAGGAGAUGCACUUCCAGGCAGCUGGGAUGAGGGUCUUAGAGCCCACACCCACGACGACACACCUGUCCCAACAAGGCCACACCUCCUAAUAGUGCCACUCCUUGGGCCAAGCAUAUACAAACCAUCACACCAUGAAACCAUACAAUUAGUUUUGUUUGUUUGUUUGUUUGUUUGUUUAAGAAAUGGUAAAGGAAGAGGUGGAAAGGUGGUUUGGUGGUAUAGACUUCUACAAUACCUGAGUUCAGUUCCCAGCAUCCACAUUGAUACAGUUUGUAACACCAGCUCCAGGAGGGAUCCAAUGCCUCUGGCUUUGGGCACUGCAUUCAUGUGCACAUAACCCAUAAGUUUUGUUGUUUUGUUUUUAAAGAGGAUUAAAGUUUAUAAUUCUGGAACCAUUCCAGAUACAAGGACAUGCCAGGUCUGUAAUAGAAAUGCCCAAAGAUUUGUCCCUGGUACAUUCAUUGAGAACUGACAGUGGUGGAAGGAAGGCUUUGCAUCUAUUGGUUCAUCUGGACCCAGCAGUGAUAGGUGCUGUAAUACCCAUCUGAUGAAGAGAAAAAGAAGGUUCAGAAAAUGUUACAUUCUCAGAAUUAUACAAAAUGAAUGGCAAAGCUGGGGUUCCAGAUGGCUGUAGAUAUGAAUUGAGCCCAGCAUAUCCCACAUAGUGGUGAAAAACUUGUGUUGUUGAUAGAAGUCAGAUUUAGUGAAGUGCACUUGGAUGGUAGAGUCUCAUCUGACCUCUGCUACCUAAUCUUUUUGAGGCCAGCUUUUUUGAGACCUUGGCUCU
rnacentral:lncRNA from 1 species